rnacentral:rRNA from 1 species
UCGAGGGGCAGCACGAGGUAGCAAUACUUUGGUGGCGACCGGCGCACGGGUGAGUAACAGGUAUGCAACUUACCCUGUACCGGGGGAUAACCCGGAGAAAUUCGGACUAAUACCCCAUAAUAUUAUUGGGAGGCAUCUUUUAAUAAUUAAAAUUCAGAUGGUACAGGAUGGGCAUGCUCAACAUUAGCUAGUUGGUAGGGUAACGGCCUACCAAGGCUACGAUGUUUAGGGGGCCUGAGAGGGUGAUCCCCCACACUGGUACUGAGACACGGACCAGACUCCUACGGGAGGCAGCAGUGAGGAAUAUUGGUCAAUGGGCGCAAGCCUGAACCAGCCAUCCCGCGUGCAGGAAGACGGCGCUAUGCGUUGUAAACUGCUUUUCUGGAGGAAGAAACGCCGCGACGUGUCGUGGUUUGACAGUACUUCAGGAAUAAGCAUCGGCUAACUCCGUGCCAGCAGCCGCGGUAAUACGGAGGAUGCGAGCGUUAUCCGGAUUCAUUGGGUUUAAAGGGUGCGUAGGCGGACUUAUAAGUCAGUGGUGAAAUCCUGCAGCUUAACUGUAGCACUGCCAUUGAUACUGUUAGUCUUGA